UGCCUUGGGCAUUUUUAAUCUGUAGCUCUGCUCUAAAAGAACGUACGUACUUGGGCCCACCUACUACGCUUGCAAAGGUAAAAUGAUUGGCUAGAAUCCAAAUUGUAUGACAUUUCAGGGGAAAAACGCACCGAAGUAAAGCACCGAAAUGUGCUCUGCUUUUCGGUCUGGUUACUACCGUUUAUGUCAGAACCGUGCCAUAAUGGCACCGGAUACCGGUGCCCAUCCCUAGUUCAGAACUCGAUGAAAACAAAUUAAAGGAACUUUUUGUUUGCUGGAGUUUUUCCAGCAUCUGUCAUCAGUCCUUGAAUGCAACACAAGGAACAUAACUUGACAGUCUGGGCAGCACAGUGCAUAACCAUGAGAGCAAUUGUUCCUUGGAGAUAUACAGGGAUAUAAAUAUGUAAAAAAUCUCAAAACAUAUAAAUAUUUGAGGACAAAAAUUUUGCAUUUUUCUAGUUCUUGAAGUGUGCUUUGUGACUCUUUGGCUGCCAAAAUAUACACAAGAAAAGAAGAAGAAGAGAUGAUCGCCGAGACUCAGUCAUUAGAAUGAGAAGCAAAAACCAAUUCCACCUGUGGGUGGAUUCCCCUCAUCGUCCAGGGGGGAAGUUAGAAAAGGUUUCAUUUUAUCACAGCAAAGUAUUUUUCCCUUAACCUACAAACGCGAUACAGGGCUGGUCUCAGGUGAGACAUUGACUUUAUUAUGAAUCUAUAAUCUCUACUCAUCUAGCCUCACAUGAUUAGUAAAAAGUUGUUAUUUAGGCACUGAUGGGUGUUUUAUUGUUGUCUUGGCAAUAAUAAAAUGAGAGCUGAUUGGCAAAGUCCUCCAAAUUACUCUAUAAUAUACACGAUUUUCCACUGACUUCCUCAGUCUGUUCAGGUGUGUUUGAGAUAAAAUGAUAAAAAUCCAGUCAAUAAUUAACUCAGUACUUAGCACAGCAGCUUGACUCUCGUGGGCUCAGACAUGCAGCAAUCUCCAUCAGCAGGGGCAGCAUCAGGCACCGUGGUCGUGGUUUUACCGCGGUACUACAUCACCAGAAAGCAACUGCCAGCACUGGGGGUGAGACACCUUUACAUCCUGAUGGGGUCAGAUUGAAUCCAGACAGAGAUGAUUAAACCACUGAUCUUUAACCUGUGGAUGCUGAAGGCAUGUGAUUCACAACCACGCUGCUGCUCUGCUGUCGAUCUCUGAGCUGACUUUAAUGACAGAGGACGUCUGUCCUCAGAGGCUUUUGGAUUACCUUGGAAAAUAAUCUCUGUUGGAAAUUAAAGUUCAGAAAGAUGAUGUCCAGAAGACAAGCUAAAUGUGAAUACAGACUCGUGUUACCGGUUAGUUCAAACUUCCUCUCAGCACAAAGUGUAAGGAUGUGGUUCAGUAAAUGUGGAGAUAACAUCUUUGGCAUCAUGACAACUUCAUCAGGGACAAUUUAAACAGGACUAGAAGUUGGAGGUCAGCUGAUUGUUAAUGACUUGGCGGGAACAUCUGACUUUCAAGCAUAAAUGUUUCAAAUGUUAAAGUGUUUCUUUCAUCAUCUCUUUGGCAUCACUUGUUCUUACAAAGGCUGAAUGAGCCAAAGGCUCUGAAUGUUUCCUCUGAGACUUUAUGUCUUCCUGCAGGUGAUUCAGAUCAUAGUUGCUCUGACUGUCAUGGUCUUUGGGAUCCUGAGGGCAACACGGUCCAAAGGUCUGGUCUCUGAUUGCAUGGUGUACAUCUGGGGACCAGUGAUGUUCAUCAUAGCUGGGUGUAUGACGAUCUAUGAUGGGACUUCACAGAGACCUAAGAGUAAGAGUGCUGUGGUUCUAAAUGUUGCUGCUGGUGUGACUUAACUUGUCACAGCGACGGUCUUCUUCCUGGAUGCAUCUCAAGCAUUUACCAACAGCGACCCUGGGGAGUCAGACCUGGACAUAGUGAGCUUUUUUCUUUCAUGUUAAAUUAAAUGAGAAUGUGUAUUUAGAGCACAGGUGAAUGCGGACUGGCUGUAACAGCUGUGACCUAGCUGCAGAGGUCUGUGGAGCAGAGAUUAUAGGUGUUUGACCAACAUGCUGAAGAGAAGAGAAACUGUUUCAAAUUUUUAGUUAGGGCAAGGGAACAUCAGCAGCCUGUUUUUCUUUCUUUCAGUCCAGCCAGGCAAUUUCAGGUUUUUCAGCCAUUCUCUGCUUGAUCCAGCUGAUGUUGUGUGGCUGUUCUGCAGGAGUAGGCAAACCUGGAGGUUGCUGUGAUCCCACACGUCAGGUGAUUCUAUCUACGGAGUUUUCCUCAGAUCAGUUUAUUAGCUACAGCUGACUAAACAUAAUGUAAUUCAGUUCUAUUCAGUUUUAUUUAUGUAAUCCAAAAUGAUGACAACAGUUGCCUCAAGGUGCUUUAUAUUGUACAAAACGAUGCUACGAUAAUACAAAGAAACCUCAGUAAUCAGA